AGUGAACGCUGGCGGUAGGCCUAACACAUGCAAGUCGAACGGCAGCACAGUAAGAGCUUGCUCUUACGGGUGGCGAGUGGCGGACGGGUGAGGAAUACAUCGGAAUCUACUUUUUCGUGGGGGAUAACGUAGGGAAACUUACGCUAAUACCGCAUACGACCUACGGGUGAAAGCAGGGGAUCUUCGGACCUUGCGCGAAUGAAUGAGCCGAUGUCGGAUUAGCUAGUUGGCGGGGUAAAGGCCCACCAAGGCGACGAUCCGUAGCUGGUCUGAGAGGAUGAUGAGCCACACGGGAACUGAGACACGGUCCAGACUCCUACGGGAGGCGGCAGUGGGGAAUAUUGGACAAGGAGGGCAGUCCGGAUCCAGCCAGACGGGGUGGGGGAGGAGGGCCUUCGGGUGGUAAAGCCCUUUUGUUGGGAAGGAAGAGGAGGAGGUUAGGACCCCGCUGUUGUGACGGUACCCAAAGAAAAAGCACCGGCUAACUUCGUG
rnacentral:rRNA from 1 species